GGGCCUCACUGUGUAGCUCAGACUGGCCUCAAACUCACAAAGAUCCUCCUGCCUCAGCCUCCCAAGUGCUGGAAUUACAGACUUGUACCAUGAUGAAAAACAGAAAAGAAAAACAAAUUUAAAAAAAAACAAGGGUAGUGGCUAAGUGCUUGCCUGAUGGCGACAGAAGAAGAGCAUGAAUUCUGUCAUCUCAGUAAUUGGGAGGCUGAGGCAGGAGGAUCGCUGGGUGUUCAGGCCAGUCUGGGCAAGACAGCGAGAAAAGCACGGCAGGAGUAUCAGGGAAGCCCGCAGCUGCGACUCCUCAGAGGGUCCUGGGGGAAGGCUGUCACCCGGUGCCUGGAUCUUGGAUGUUUCCCUCCUGAGAGGGACGGAAAGAGUGAAGGAGCUGCGUGGAUUAGCAGGAAACAGCAGAAUAGUCAAGAAAUAAUAAACGAGGUCUUUUUUAAAGCAGCUGAGGAGCCCGAAUCUCACCUCUACACUGUGUACCACACUAGCUGAUGUCCCAGACAGCUGGUCACCACCGUCUCUUGAUGUUAUGUGGGCAGAAUGGAAAGCUGAUGGCUGGCUGAUCCUCGUCACAGAGAACAAAUCUUCCCUCUGUGAGCACCUUCCAGUGGAGCUUUAAAUGCUUUAAAGUUACAAGGAUUAAAAGAAAAUCCCAAAACAAAAAACCCAAGCCUGAUGGGAUGAGGAACUGUUUACCUCCUCCACCUUCUGUGGGGAAAUUGUUCAUGAGUCCCUUUAAGGAGAUACAGAUGUAAUGUGAGGGCCAGGGAUAUAGCUCGGUGGCACAAGCCCCUCUCUGGCGAGGUCUUGAGUUCGAUUCCUGGCACCAAAAGUUUAAAAAAAUUUAAGAAUGUGCAAUUAACACCUUGCUAGGGCCAGGGAUUUAGCUCAGCGGUAUAAGUGCCUGCCCUGCAAAUACACAGUCGUGAGUUUGAUCCCCGGUAAAUAAAUUAAACAACCUGCUAACUUAGUAACAGAGAUUGCUUUUCAGUUUCCUGUUUAGCCCGAUGGGGUAGUGGGUGCACUGUGAUCCCAGCACUCAGGAGGCCGAGGCAGGAGGAUCACUGUGAGUUGGAGGCCAGCCUGGGUGAUACAAUGAACUGAAAACAUGCCUAAAGCUACAUAGCGAGCCUGUCUCAAAAACAGAACCAAAACCAAAUUAAAUUUCUCCCUUUAAAAUUCCCAGGCUCACUGAUUAGUUUUUCUCUCUAGACAGAGCAUUCUAAACAAUGCCCAGCACACAUUAGAUAGUCAAUGAAAAGAAACUCCUGAAUGACUGUGUAGUACCCGGUAAGGUUAAAAUGUAAACCGCCCUACUGAUCAGAGUCUAUCUAAUCAGGCAGAGUUAUCGGCAACAAUUAAUGGCCACCCCGUGGUGUAAGUCCAUGUUGUACACAAUCCUUUUUUGGGCUGGGCAUGGUGGUGCAGGCUUGUAAUUCCAGCACUGUGGGAGGCUGAGGCAGGAGGAUUGCAGGGCGGAACCCAGGCUGGGUUACGGAGCAGCUUGGUGCAACCCUGUGCCAAGAAAACAAAACAUUUCAAAAGGGCUGGCGGCAAUGGGGUCACUGGGGACCUCUUGGCUGGCUCGCUGCUCCUUCCCCACUGUGGGGACCUGGGGGGUUCCCUGCACCUCCUCCCGGGGGACCUUGAACUUUGUUCUUUGUCUGCAGCGGGAAAAACUGCAGAAAGCCUGUCUUUCAGCCAAGUCCUGGCCACCAAAACCUGGUGGUGGCCGGGGCCAGAGGCUCCUGCUCCUGGGCUGCCGUGGGGGAGGAGAGAUUCCUGGGGACCCUAGCUGGCCGCUGGCCCCAGGGUCACCCACUGGCUGCACAGUUGUUAUUUUGCUUUUGGGGAGGGGGUACAGCAUGAUUCCCCUCUGCUUCCAUUAAACACACACACACACACACACACACACACACACGCCCCUGUCUCUCCUUGGCACUGGAAUUAGACCUCCAAACCCUCUGUUAUCAGGGAAACAGGCCUUGGAGGCGCGGCGAAUUCCCUGAUAAACAGGUCGCCUGUGCCCGUUCCCCUAACGAUGUCAGCACAGACGACCAACUUGCCACGGUGGGCCUGGGUGGUGCCGUACCUUGAUCCUCCUUCCCCAAACUCCUGGUUCUGUUUUAUGAAUCGUACCGUCCUCCCGGUGAUUACUUAGAUUGUGUGCCCCGCCUGCUCUGCAUUUUAAUCUAAGUGUAACUGCAAAGAAAAAAUGUAAAUCUCUUCUAUUCACUUUCAAAAGAAAAUAAAUGGAUUUUUAC